UGGGGAAUAUUGGACAAUGGGCGCAAGCCUGAUCCAGCCAUGCCGCGUGUGUGAAGAAGGCCUUUUGGUUGUAAAGCACUUUAAGCGAGGAGGAUGCUACUUGGAUUAAUACUCUAGGAUAGUGGACGUUACUCGCAGAAUAAGCACCGGCUAACUCUGUGCCAGCAGCCGCGGUAAUACAGAGGGUGCGAGCGUUAAUCGGAUUUACUGGGCGUAAAGCGUGCGUAGGCGGCUUCUUAAGUCGGAUGUGAAAUCCCUGAGCUUAACUUAGGAAUUGCAUUCGAUACUGGGAAGCUAGAGUAUGGGAGAGGAUGGUAGAAUUCCAGGUGUAGCGGUGAAAUGCGUAGAGAUCUGGAGGAAUACCGAUGGCGAAGGCAGCCAUCUGGCCUAAUACUGACGCUGAGGUACGAAAGCAUGGGGAGCAAACAGG
rnacentral:rRNA from 1 species